rnacentral:rRNA from 1 species
GCGUAGGAGACGAGCGUUAUCCGGAUUUACUGGGCGUAAAGCGCGUGUAGGAGGCGCUGCAAGUUGGAUGUGAAAGCUCCCGGCUCAACUGGGAGAGGUCGUUCAAGACUGUAGCGCUAGAGUGAGGCAGAGGUAGAUGGAACUCCGGGAGUAGUGGUGAAAUGCGUAGAUAUCCGGAAGAACACCAGAGGCGAAAGCGAUCUACUGGACCUAAACUGACACUGAGACGCGAAAGCCAGGGUAGCAAACGG